rnacentral:rRNA from 1 species
GACGGAGGGUGCAAGCGUUGUUCGGAUUGACUGGGCGUAAAGGGCGUGUAGGCGGUUGGUCAAGUCCGAUGUGAAAGCCCGGGGCUCAGCUUCGGAAGUGCAUCGGAAACUAGCCAGCUGGAGCGCGAUAGAGGAGGGCGGAAUUCCUGGUGUAGCGGUGAAAUGCGUAGAUAUCGGGAGGAACACCUAUGGCGAAGGCAGCUCGCUGGGACGUUACUGACGCUGAGACGCGAAAGCGUGGGGAGCAAACAGG